rnacentral:rRNA from 1 species
GGGGAAUAUUGCACAAUGGGCGCAAGCCUGAUGCAGCGACGCCGCGUGGGGGAUGAAGGCCUUCGGGUUGUAAACUCCUUUCGCUAGGGACGAAGCUUUUUGGUGACGGUACCUAGAUAAGAAGCACCGGCUAACUACGUGCCAGCAGCCGCGGUAAUACGUAGGGUGCGAGCGUUGUCCGGAAUUACUGGGCGUAAAGGGCUCGUAGGUGGUUUGUCGCGUCGUCUGUGAAAUUCUGGGGCUUAACUCCGGGCGUGCAGGCGAUACGGGCAUAACUUGAGUGCUGUAGGGGUAACUGGAAUUCCUGGUGUAGCGGUGAAAUGCGCAGAUAUCAGGAGGAACACCGAUGGCGAAGGCAGGUUACUGGGCAGUUACUGACGCUGAGGAGCGAAAGCAUGGGUAGCGAACAGGAUUAGAUACCCUGGUAGUCCAUGCCGUAAACGGUGGGCGCUAGGUGUGAGGGUCUUUCUACGACUUUCGUACCGUAGCUAACGCAUUAAGCGCCCCGCCUGGGGAGUACGGCCGCAAGGCUA